rnacentral:rRNA from 1 species
GAUGAACGCUAGCUACAGGCUUAACACAUGCAAGUCGAGGGGUAACGAGAGGAAAGCUUGCUUUCCUUGUCGACGACCGGCGCACGGGUGAGUGACGCGUAUCCAACCUGCCCCCAACUAGGGAAUAACCUUGCGAAAGUAAGACUAAUACCCUAUAAUUUCCUCAGAUGACAUCUGACGAGGAAUAAAGAUUUAUCGGUUGUGGAUGGGGAUGCGUCUGAUUAGCUUGUUGGCGGGCUAACGGCCCACCAAGGCAACGAUCAGUUGGGGUUCUGAGAGGAAGGUCCCCCACAUUGGAACUGAGACACGGUCCAAACUCCUACGGGAGGCAGCAGUGAGGGAUAUUGGUCAAUGGGCGGAAGCCUGAACCAGCCAAGUAGCGUGCAGGAUGACGGCCCUAUGGGUUGUAAACUGCUUUUAUACAGGAAUAAAGUUAGCCACGUGUGGUUAUUUGUAGGUACUGUAUGAAUAAGGACCGGCUAAUUCCGUGCCAGCCGCCGCAGUAA